rnacentral:rRNA from 1 species
UUCCUCGUACCAGCCGGGAUAGCUCAGGAAACCUGGGUAAUACCGAUACGGUGCUUCGGCAUCAAGCUUGCCACCUUGGAGCGGGAACGUCCUAUCAGGUAGUUGGUGAGGUAAAGGCUCACCAAGCCGAAGACGGGUAGCGGGUGUGAGAGCAUGACCCGCCGCAUCGGAACUGAGACACUGUCCGGACUCCUACGGGAGGCUGCAGUAACGAAUAUUCCGCAAUGCGCGAAAGCGUGACGGGGCAAUGCCGCGUGUGGGAUGAAGCCCUAGGGGUGUAAACCACUGUCAGGGUUUAGGAACACAAUGACCAAACUCAAAGGAA